ensembl:lncRNA
CCUCCUCAGCCGAGCUGUGUUUUUUAUUAUCUAACAUGCUCCCUUUCCUUCUUGCUCUCUCUAAAGGUGGUGGUCAGCAUCCCCUGGAGGUGAAGCGCUGUGACCCGUAACUCACCGCCGCCUGGAGCCACACGGAUCGUCUGGACUUCACUCCCCCACCUCCAGCUUCUGUCCAACCGCCCUCUGAAGACGUCGACAAUGUGACAGCUGGACCCUUUCAGAAGCAUGUGACCUGCCGUUAUUAUGGAUCGGAAAAUCAGCAUACAUUGAAUCUACACUCAUCCAGGGCUGCUUAGGAGGAAGGACAAUGCUGCUCACUAUGGGACUCAAGGCCACGCUGAGUGACUCAUAUUCCUAUAGAAUUCGGG